CAGCUGUCAGAGCUGUCAGCCUGCUUAGACAGAGGAAAAUGGUACAGGCAAAGCCGGCCUGGUGUCAGGAAAAAGGCUGCCUGUGAUAACCCACUGCAGGCCCCUAAAGGUCUCGACCUUAGGCCCCCCUCGGGCCGUCUCCAUGGUCGGGUCCCACUGGAGAAGGAGGCAUUUUGAGAGUGUGAGUUGGUCGCUGGAAACUGCUCUUCUGACUCCCUUCCCGAAAGAGGCUGCGUUCAGGAAUCGGGUCCCAUGGGGAUUGGAAUAUAGUCUGGUUGGAAACACUCGUUUUGUAGAAUCUACGAAUAAACUUUGUGGAACCCAUUGAGGCAUAUAGUGAAAAACAAAAUAUUCUGUGAUAAAAACUAAAAGCUUGCUAUCUGUGAAUAUGCUUUGUGAUGUUUGGAUUCAUCUUACAAAGGUUGGAAACAAUUUUUUUGGAGAAUCUAAGAAGGGACAUUUUGGAGGUCAUUGAGACUUAUAGUGAAAAACUGAAUAUCCUGUGGUAAAAACUAAAAACAAGCCAUCUGUGAAAAUGUUUUACGUUGCGUGGAUUCAUCUCACAGAGUUAAACCUUUUUUCUGAUUCAGCAGAUUGAAAACUUUCCUUCUGUAAAGUCAACAAAGAAACAUUUCGGAGUCCAUUGAGAAGCCGAAUAUCACACAAUAAAAACUAAAAGCAAGCUAUCUGUGAAAAUACUUUGUGACAUGUGAAUUCAUCUCAAUGAGUUAAACCUUUGUUUUGAUUCAGCAAUUUGGAAAUGAUCUUUUUGUAGAAUCUACA